AACAGCUGCGGUAUUAUAACUGUACUAAGGUAGCAUAAUAAUUUGCCUUAUAAAUUAGGGCUAGAAUGAAUGGUUUGACGAAAAUUAAGCUGUCUCUGUUUUAUUUGUUAGAAAUUAAUUUUUAUAGUGAAAAAGCUUUAAUUGUUUAAAGGGACGAGAAGACCCUAUUGAGCUUAAUAUUAAUAUUUAAAUAUAGAACAAGUUUUUAAAAUUAAAUUAUUUGUUUAUUGUAUAAAUGUUUAUUUUUGGUUUAAUUUUGGUUGGGGUGAUCAAGGAAUAAAAGAAAAUAUAAUAACUUCCUUAAAUAUAUUUAAUUUUUAUUGGGUAAUAAACCAAAUUUUUUGCUUAUAAGAUAAGUUACCAUAGGGGUAACAGCGUAAUUUUUUUUGAGAGUUCAUAUUAAAAGAAGAGAUUGCGACCUCGAUGUUGGAUUAAAAAUAACCUUAAGGUGUAGAGGCUUUAUAGGGUGAAUCUGUUCGAUUUUUAAAAUUUU
rnacentral:rRNA from 1 species